rnacentral:misc_RNA from 1 species
GAUGAAGAACGCAGCGAAAUGCGAUACUUGGUGUGAAUUGCAGAAUCCCGUGAACCAUCGAGUCUUUGAACGCAAGUUGCGCCUCAAGCCAUUAGGAUGAGGGCACGUCUGCCUGGGCGUCACAUAUCGUUGCCUGAUGCCAGUUUCCUCGUGAUGGGUGACUGUGCAGGGCGAAUGAUGGCUUCCCGUGAGCAUUGUUGCCUCAUGGUUGGUUGAAAAUUGAGUCCUUGGUAGGGAGCGCCGUGAUAGAUGGUGGUUGAGUGACGAACGAGACCCAAUCAUGUGAGACCCCUACCGAAUUUGGCCUUCAGGACCCACAUGCGUCUUUGGAACGCUCAUGACGAGACCUCAGGUCAGGCGGGGCUACCCGCUGAGUUUAAGCAUAUCAAUAAGCGGAGGA